GCCGGGCGUGGUGGCUCAUGCCUGUAAUCCAAGCACUUUGGAGGCAAAGGCGGGCGGAUCACCUGAGGUCAGGAGUUCAAGACCAGCCUGACCAACAUGGUGAAACCCCAUCUUUA
ensembl:misc_RNA Metazoa_SRP Metazoan signal recognition particle RNA